rnacentral:rRNA from 1 species
UGGGGAAUAUUGCACAAUGGACGGAAGUCUGAUGCAGCAACGCCGCGUGCGGGAUGACGGCCUUCGGGUUGUAAACCGCUUUUUCUCAUGACGAAGUUUUUUGACGGUAGUGGGGGAAGAAGCACCGGCUAACUACGUGCCAGCAGCCGCGGUAAUACGUAUGGAGCGAGCGUUGUCCGGAAUUAUUGGGCGUAAAGGGUGCGCAGGCGGCUUUACAAGUUGGAUGUGAAAUAUUGUGGCUCAACCACAAACGUGCAUCCAAAACUGCAAAGCUUGAGUUAAGGAGAGGUAAGUGGAAUUCCUGGUGUAGCGGUGGAAUGCGUAGAUAUCAGGAGGAAUACCGGUGGCGAAGGCGACUUACUGGACUUAAACUGACGCUCAGGCACGAAAGCGUGGGGAGCAAACAGG